ACCCUCCAGAUUCCUUACACAUCAUAUAUAAAUAUUGGUCUGAGUGGUUAAAAAAGGAAGAAAAGUAAAAUUGAAGUAGACCUGAAGGCUUUAAUGACAUACAAGUUCAUUUCAAACAUUA
rnacentral:snoRNA from 1 species